CCUACGGGGGGCAGCAGUGGGGAAUAUUGGACAAUGGGCGCAAGCCUGAUCCAGCAAUGCCGCGUGAGUGAUGAAGGCCUUAGGGUUGUAAAGCUCUUUUACCCGGGAUGAUAAUGACAGUACCGGGAGAAUAAGCCCCGGCUAACUCCGUGCCAGCAGCCGCGGUAAUACGGAGGGGGCUAGCGUUGUUCGGAAUUACUGGGCGUAAAGCGCACGUAGGCGGCUUUGUAAGUUAGAGGUGAAAGCCUGGAGCUCAACUCCAGAACUGCCUUUAAGACUGCAUCGCUUGAAUCCAGGAGAGGUGAGUGGAAUUCCGAGUGUAGAGGUGAAAUUCGUAGAUAUUCGGAAGAACACCAGUGGCGAAGGCGGCUCACUGGACUGGUAUUGACGCUGAGGUGCGAA
rnacentral:rRNA from 1 species